GACGAACGCUGGCGGCGUGCUUAACACAUGCAAGUCGAACGGAAAGGCCCUGCUUUUGUGGGGUGCUCGAGUGGCGAACGGGUGAGUAACACGUGAGUAGCCUGCCCUUGACUUUGGGAUAACUUCAGGAAACAGGGGCUAAUACCGGAUAGGAGCUCCUGCUGCAUGGUGGGGGUUGGAAAGUUUCGGCGGUUGGGGAUGGACUCGCGGCUUAUCAGCUUGUUGGUGGGGUAGUGGCUUACCAAGGCUUUGACGGGUAGCCGGCCUGAGAGGGUGACCGGCCACAUUGGGACUGAGAUACGGCCCAGACUCCUACGGGAGGCAGCAGUGGGGAAUAUUGCACAAUGGGCGGAAGCCUGAUGCAGCAACGCCGCGUGCGGGAUGACGGCCUUCGGGUUGUAAACCGCUUUCGCCUGUGACGAAGCGUGAGUGACGGUAAUGGGUAAAGAAGCACCGGCUAACUACGUG
rnacentral:rRNA from 1 species